rnacentral:lncRNA from 1 species
GAUUAUUCCCAGAAACAGCUGAGCAACCUUCCCCUUAUGGACAAAUUUCAUUUUGACAAGCUCACUCUUUCUUUUCAAAGGUGAGGCUCUACAAUUUGUGUGGCUUUUGAGUCUCAGAAAAAAUUGUGAGAUUAGUCGUUCUGUUGCUCUGAUUUUGCAGGUCAGAGAGCUGAGAAGUGAGGUCACAUGACUUGGCCUUCCUGACAUGACUGGUAGGUCAAGAGGGGGCCUCUUACCAAUUGGGUCCCCUACUGGUCAGCCAUUAAUUCCCCUCCCUCCUCAUAUAAAUUUAUUCUUGCCAUACUUUACUACCCUAAAAAUUCAGUGUCCACAUGGCUAGAACUACAGAAUUUGACAGCUCCUUAACAGACAAGUGAGGAGAGUGAGGCCCUCGGGCUUGGCUAAGGCCUAAUUGAAUGAAUGUUAGGGACAUGGGCAUUGGACCCUUGGUUUGGCAGAGCCCACAUGGAGGCCACAGGACACAGCCACUCUUCCGUGUUAGUCACAUUUCAUUUUUGCUUGUAAUUUCUGUUCUCCUGGUUCCAUCAAAUGGAGUCAGCAGAACAAGAAAUCGCAUGUAGUUGGGAUGCCAGACAGCUUGAAGAUGUGCAGGGCUACCCAUGGAGUCAGUCUUGCCAUCUCUUUUCCUCUAAGUCCCCAAGGGUUAACAUCAUUUCUUUAUUUUUCCUUCCUGAGAUGGAGAUACCUGGAAGAUGUGAGAAGUGACCCUCUGGUUCACAAAUGUCCUGCUGCAACUAUCCCUCUUCCCUCUGAUAUGUAUGCCAGAUGUUUUUCUUUCUGUUCAGGAUUAAUCACAAUAACAACAGCAACAAAAACAGCCAUAAUAAUAACUUCACCUACCAAAUCAGAAACAAGGACAGCAAAUAUUGAAGGAGUACAGUAUGUGUAUAUUAUCUCCUUUGAGCCAACGACAGACCUCUGAUUCCAAUGCUCUUGGUGGUCCAAUUGUCGGAGGAAUUAAAUGAUGCUAAGUGACAGACUUGGGCUUUUUAUAUUUCUGUUUUAAUAUUUCAUUUUCCUUCAUCCUACACGCAUUCAAAGAUGGCAAAGAAAUACACAUUGCUAGCAGAAAAAGUUCCUGCAGGCUCAGUUCAGACUCUGGGGCCUCCCCCAGAUGUCACUUUGGCCUUUCUUUUGACUCUAAGUACCUUAAGGUUAACCUUAUUUCUCUCUUAAUUGGUUCUAGAAUUAUUCUCAGUAAGAGCUGAGUCUUUCUCCUGUGGACUAGUUUCAUUUUGACAAGCUCACUGUUUCUUUUCAAAGGUGAGUUUCCAGAUUUGCAUUUGUUUCAGGAAUUUAAAAUAGGUUGGGGCUCAGGGCUUAAGUCAGGGAAAGCCAGGGAAUUUACCUCUUGAUGGACCUUUGAAAUAGUUCCUCUUGUGCUCACUUCGGCAGCACAUAUACUAAAAUUGGAAGGAUACAGAGAAGAUUAGCAUGGCCCCUGCGCAAGGAUGACACGCAAAUUCGUGAAGCAUUCCAUAUUUUUUAUGGAGAUGCUUGCCUUUUCAAUGAGGGUGGGUGGGGAGGGAGGAAGGGAGAAAAUUUGUAACCCAAAGUUUUAAAAACAUAUGUUAAAAAUUAAAAAAAGAAAAAAAAAAGAAAUAGUUCCCCUGUACUUUUGACAUCUUUGCUUGAAAAUGCUCAUGGGCAUCUCUAAUAACAACAACAACAAAAAAAGAACUCCCUUGUGUGCAACAAGCUCUACAAUUUGUAUGGCUUUUGAGCCUCAGAAUAAAUUGUGAGAUUAGUGGUUUUCUUGCUCUGAU